GGGAGACAUGUCAAAGCAAAGAAGCCAAUUUGAAAAGAAAACAAGAUCAUACAAGUCCUCCCCGAGGUCCGGGCUGGGUCAGGAGGGCUGCUGAGGUCCUGAGGUGGGACUGUCGCGUGUCCAGCUCAAGAGACAAAGCACCAUGGCCUGUGUUCUCUCCAUGCUUCUCCGUGACGACCCGUGUGCUGUCCACAAACCUGCAGGAAACGCCUCUGAUGUCCCCUGUAUCCCCGAGUAACAACCCCUCAAAGUGACAAAGAAUAUACAGUACAGUGAGAUGGAACUUUAUACUGCAGGCUGUGGAGAGGAGGAGUGGAG